UAAGCGGAGGAAAAGAAACUAACAAGGAUUCCCCUAGUAACUGCGAGUGAAGCGGGAAAAGCUCAAAUUUAAAAUCUGGUGGUCUUUGGCCAUNCGAGUUGUAAUCUAGAGAAGCGUCUUCCGCGCUGGACCGUGCACAAGUCUCCUGGAACGGAGCGUCGUAGAGGGUGAGAAUCCCGUCUUUGGCAUGGACACACCAGGGCUUUUGUGAUGCGCUCUCGAAGAGUCGAGUUGUUUGGGAAUGCAGCUCAAAAUGGGUGGUGAACUCCAUCUAAAGCUAAAUAUUGGCGAGAGACCGAUAGCGAACAAGUACCGUGAGGGAAAGAUGAAAAGCACUUUGGAAAGAGAGUGAAACAGUACGUGAAAUUGUUGAAAGGGAAACGCUUGAAGUCAGUCGCGUCGACCGAGACUCAGCCUCGCCUCGGCUUGGCGUACUUCUCGGCCCGACGGGUCAGCAUCAAUUUCGCCUCUUGGAUAAUGGCGAGGGAAACGUGACACCUUUACGGUGUGUUAUAGUCUCUCGUCGCAUGCAAGGGUCGGGAUUGAGGAACUCAGCACGCGCCUUUGGGCGUCGGGGCUUUGCCUACGAUACGUGCUUAGGAUGUUGGCGUAAUGGCUUUAAACGACC
rnacentral:rRNA from 1 species